UCCCUCGCCGCCGGCCGGCCGGCCACCCCGCCACCCAACUCCCUCGCCGCCGCCGGACAGCCCCUCCCACCCAAUCCCCUCCGCUCCCCUGAUUCCCCUAGACGUCCGCGUCAAGAACCUCCUCCCGGUCGUGGAGCGCCUCCCGUCCACAUUCCUCGACGCAGCUGUCUCCCUCCACCUCCCGCAAUCUCUGCCUCGACGCAGCACUCGUGCGCGACGGCCGCCAUGUCUCCCUCCGCCUCCCUCGCUCCCUGCCUCGACGCAUCAGACCUGGGCUACGGCCCAAGCCGCAGCAGCAGAGGCCAGUGCUGGAGGUGGAUAACCCCCUCCAUAGCCACCGUGGCUCGCCCCCGGGGAGACAUGGACGACGAGAUGGUGGUUGCCUUCCCGGAGAUGCGGCCUCCGGCAACCUCCCGCACAACCUCCACGACCUGCGGCCGCCGGCGACGUCCCCGAUCCGCUGCUGCCGGAGACCCCACUCCGUCCCUAGAUUUGCCGUCGGCAGGCCACCUCCCCAACUCGCAGCUGCUCGCAAGCAGACAAGCAGUACUAAUAUAGGAGCGCGGAAAAUGUAGAACUCUUGCAUCUGGACUUGGAGGAGGAACACAUUGAGGACCUUGCUUUGUUAGAUCCAUCAUCGUCCUCGGACUCCAUGAAAUAUCCUGUUGAAAGUUCAAACUGAACAAAGUUUUGCACCAUGGGUGCUUAGAAGCAAAAGACCAAUGGUGGUAAAAGACGGUGUUUCUGCUGCUGCCGCUGUGUUGGUCGAAACACGUGGCUAGCUCGGUCAGCGGCGUCGGUGGGAUGAGGAUGUCGAGAAUGUGAAGUGCAGAUGCAAACCGCUGGAGCUGGCAUGGACAAGAAAGAAGACAACAUUGUUGGUAGCUCUGUGAGUUGAAUGUAUCGUCUCUGCACUAGAGCUUCCUAGCAGUUUGGUUAAUGCAGCCGCAAGAGUAGCAGGCAGCGGUGUCCUUAGCGAUACACCAUUAGUUGAAGUGGUAUCCACCACUAUGGCAACGGCCUUCUCGUAGAUCGCUCCUACCGCAUCUCUCAAUCCCCUUUCUCCAGUCAAUUUGCUGACAUCGCCGUAGCCUCUCGAUGCUACUCCCUGCUGCUCACCCCACCUCGCUGCUCAGCUGCCGGCCACCCAACCACACCCACCCAACUCCCUCGCCGCCAGACACCCCCACCCACCCAAUCCCUUCUACCCCUGAUUCCGGCGUGUCCGCCAUGCCCAAGACGUCAGCUUCAAGAACCUCUGCCUUGUGCUGGUCCUCGCCAUCCGAAGCACCUGGAGCUGGGCGCCCCUGUCUCGCCCACCAUGGUGCCUCCUGUUGACCUGCGGAGCUGCUGUUGCUCCUCCGCGUGCCUCCCUGCCCUGAUGCAGCAAUCGCAGGCAAUUACACAAGCAGCAGCCAAGACCAGCGCUGGAGGUUGAGGACCUCCUCCGCAUCGUCCGCAUCCUACCUCCGUGGAGCUCACUGCAGAGAUGCAAGUGGGAGGAGAUGGUCCUCGCCUUCAUGGAGUUGCAGCCAUUGUCGGUGACCUUCUGGAAAACCUCCCCGAGCUGCGGCUGCUAGCAAUGUCCCUGACUUGCUACUGCCGGUGACCACUCUGUCCCGCCACCGUUGGCCACAUCCCAAUCUCGCAGCUGCCAGGAUCCUGUUGAAAGUUCAAUCUGAACAAAGCUUUGCAUCAUGGGUGCUGAGAAGAAAGAGACCAAUGGUGGUACAAGACAGUGAUGCUGCUGCCGUGUUGGUUGAAACACGUGGCCAGCUCGGUCAUCAACAGCGGCGCGGCAGGAUGAGGACAUCGAGAAUGUGAAGUGCAGCUGCAAGCCGCUCGAGUUGGCAUGGACAAGAAAGAAGACAUCAUUGUUAGUAGUUGUGUGAGUUGAGUGUAUAUGAGCACUACAACUGCCUAGCAGUUUAUUUAAUGCAGCCGAAAGAGCAGCAGGCAUCAAUGUCCUCAGUGACAAGCUGGUAGUUGAAAUGGUAUCCACCACUACAACGAUAGACUUCUCGUAGAUCGGUCCCACCACAUCUCUCCCUCAAUCUCCUUUCUCCACUAAAUUUGUUGUCACCGCUGCAAUCUCUUAGUGCUGCUCCCCGCUACUCAUCCCACCUUGCCGCUCAGCGGCCGGCCACCCCAGCACACCCACCCAACUCCCUCGCCGCUAGACACCCCAACCCACCCAAUCACCUCCGCCCCUUGCUUCCCGUGCAUCCUCCAUGCCCAAGACAUCGGUGUCAAGAACUUUCGCUUGGCGCUUGUCCUCGCCAUCCGGAGCGCCUGGAGCUGGGCGCCCCCGUCACGGCCGCCAUGGCACCUCCUGUUGACCUAGGCUGCCGGCACCCCUUUGCCCCUCCCUGCUCCGAUGUGCCAGUCGCGGGCAACGACACAAGCAGCAGCCGAGAUUGGCGCUGGAGGUGGACUCCACGGCGUUCGCGUCCUGCCUCUGUGGAGCUCGCUGCAGAGAUGCAAGGGGGAGGAGAUGGUCAUCGCCUUCAUGGAGCUGCAGCUUCCAUCAGCGACAUUCUGGAAAACCUCCCGGAGUUGCGGCCGCCAGCAACGUCCCCGACCUCUUGCUGCUGUAGACCGUUCCGUCCAGCCGCCGUCGGCCACGUCCCAAACUUGCAGCUGCCAGUGGGCCACCUGAGGAUGCUGUGGAUAUCUCCUCCCUGACAAGGGUGAACCAGGCACCAUCUACCUGCUCACCACCGGUGCCAUGGAGAGCCCUUGCAGAAUUCGGGUGUAUCAGUGUGUAUUUCUUGCUUUAGGGUCGAAUGUAGAGCCAUUUAGGCUAGAUUGUUCUACUCUUUUUGAGGGUGCAGGUUGUUCAUGUAGUUUAUCUCUUUCUUGAACAUUUAUGAGUUGCCUUAUGAGGAUUAAGUGGGAUUGUCUUGUUAUAUUUGUUUUGUUUUGUUAGGCCACCUCCAAAUAGAAUAUACACUCGUACACUCCCAAGUCCCAACCAUGUAAUUUUGGCUGAACCUGUGAGGUAUAUAUGCCUGUUUCCUUUUUAUGGAGAAAUUUUCCAAGAACCUUGGUAAUGAAACUAGAAUUGAUUAGCUAGGUUAACUGCUAGUUUUCUCUCUUCAUUAACUGCUGAUUUUUUCUUGAAUCGUCCAUAUGAGAUGGAUCAUGAACUGAGCAGUAAGCAAUGGAUCAGUCUACAUGUGACUUUUGGAAUUGAUAGUGGCAGUUUCAGUUUUUUGUUGUUGUUGUGAUCAGCUCAAAAGCAAAUGCUUGUUAUUUGUAUGGGAAAUUAGAAUUCCACAAUGACAGUACUGUAUCGUUGUCAAGUUGUUGAUUAUUCAUUACAUCAGGUUUGUUGGUAAAUAUAUUUGUUGUAGCAUAUGUGUAGCUAUUGUUGUGUUCUUGUGAUGUUUAUUUAAAUCUGAUAAGGAUAUAUACUUGUUUGAAAGUUAAAUUCCACAAUGCAUGUGUAGUGCAAUACUGAAAUUCACAAAAACAUGUGUUUCCUUAAAAUCGAGUUGGUCUAUGUUCUAUUCAUUUAGGUGUGUCGAUAGUCCAUGUUUUUGAUUCAUAAUAGAGUAACAGUAAUGCAUUUUCACGGCUUCCCAUUCCUCCCAUUAUAUUAUUAUCUAGUUUGUUACUUCUAUUGAGAUACUGCCAUUUUUUGUUGUUGUUGGGAAUACUUAAGUGUUGCUUCUAAAUCAAUUCUAUUGUUGGCUAUGUUGAUGCCCUAUAGAGUAAUUAUUAUAAUUUAUCCACACUGUUGUUGUGCCAUGUGACUCCCAACGGUUUGGUGGCAUAUAGUGUUACUUUACAGCCACUAUUUAGGUGGGUAUGGAUGACUGCAUGGUCUCUUUUUUAAUUACUAAUGGAAUGCAUUGACACCUCUGUUGUAUUAUAAUGAAUCUCUCUUGUCGAUCAUGUUAUCAUGCCGUUGUCCUCCAGAAAGUAUUUGGUGUUUAUCUUAAGCAUUCUGUGUCAUGAUACUAUUGUGGCAUGUGCGUUUUGUAUCAUUUUAAUGAAUGACAUAUCCGGGCGGUAAACUGCUGUUGCAAGCUCAAGUGUUUUGCUAUUGUUGUCUUCUUAAUUCUACAUCCUUUCGUUCUAAUUGUUCAAUUCUCUUAUCUAGUAUGUAUGUUGAACAAAUAACUACUUUUUCUGUAGUUUACUUGCUCUAUCAAUGAUUGUCCUGUUACUCAUCCUAGUCAACUUGAUAGUCUUUGGCUUACUACUUGAAUCAGGAAAUCGUUAGUCAUGUGGUGCCUCUGAAAACUACAAAUGUUAAGGUUUUAAAACAACAAAUUAUCUCAUUAGUUUUGCCAAUGCUUAUGUUUGUUUACUCGGUUUGCAGCGGGCCACAUGAGGAUGUUGUGGACAUCUCCUCCCUGACCACCGGUGCCACGGAGGUCCCAUACAGGAACAUCAAGACCAUUGCUCCCUCUAUGAAUCGACCAGCCAUUUUUUCUCCCUGUUAAUGGUCGUCCAAGAUAAGACCUGACGCUCCUGAUCGAUGCCUUGGUUUUCAUACAUCUGGCCACUGGGAGUACUGGGGCAGUAUGGUUGGGCAUAUCUAGGCUGGAUACAUGGGAAUGAGGCGACUUCCAAGGCACAUCGCAACUGUUUCUUGUGUCGUGGAAGUGAACAUUUCUUCUCUGUUGUCCUGUCCUGUCGGUAAUUGGCGAGCCAAGCCUCUUUUGUCAGUGGUAGCUGGACGUGAUGCUGGAGCUGUACAUAGUGCAGUCAACAGAUUGCCGUGGUGCUCGCAAAGGGGGAAGUGGAUUCAGCUCUGAUGCAGGGAGGAGUUGAGCUGCCAGGAGGGAGCUUAUUCUUGAAUCACUUUUCUUGUGAUUAUAAUGUUCCAGUUGAGAAACUUAGAAUCUUUUUCUUGCUGCUAUCCACAUAUCGUGAUUGUUAUUCUUUGUGGUAAACCUACAGGAAAUGGUUUGGUUUCGGCUGUCUCAUGCUUGUUAUUUUCUGAAUAUGGAUAUCAGGUACUGCUGAAUCAAUCUUUGCCUAGGCAGAAGCCAGCACUACAGGGAUAAGGAAUGUGCAGGAAACUGAAGGCGAUGUGGAGACAAACACAAUGCUUGUCCUGAGCGUCCCUUGAGAUAUACAAGGACAUGCUCCACUCUAAGCUGACGCUGGGAGGUUAGCAGCGGGCGGAAGAGGCGGUCGCCGCCGCUAAUAUGUGGUCCGUCUUGACCCGGUGUGCUCAGGCGGCUCUGCUGUGAUUGUCAUGGCUGGUUUUAUACUGGUUGAGUGAUUUCUUGUAAUAUUAAGCAACCUGAUUGUUCGCAUUUUGCCUUUGGUUGAAGUUGUGAGUCUCCGAUGAAUUAUGUGCUGUUAGAUGUCACAAGUGUUGUGUUCUGUGCACUUCUAUUGUCAAGUGUUUUUUGUGUGAUCGAGAUUUCUCAAAAUAUCUGAAUAUAUCAUGCACAAAUUUCGAAUA